rnacentral:rRNA from 2 species
CUUGCUAGAAGUGGAUUAGUGGCGCACGGGUGAGUAAUGCAUAGAUAACAUGCCUCAUAGUCUGGGAUAGCCACUGGAAACGGUGAUUAAUACUGGAUACUCCCUACGGGGGAAAGUGGCAUUCAAAAAUGCCCUUUAAAGUGUUUUUAGAAGCUUAUAAAGUGCUGUAAGUGUUAAGUAAGAUUCUAUAAGUUUAUAAUAAUAAAUGCCUUAGAAUCUUACAAAGCAAUUAUAGUGCUAGAUGAGUUUAUAAAAAUAGUUUAGAGGGUAUUUUUGAAUGCUUACGCUAUGAGAUUGGUCUAUGUCCUAUCAGCUUGUUGGUGAGGUAAUGGCUCACCAAGGCUAUGACGGGUAUCCGGCCUGAGAGGGUGAUCGGACACACU